UACGAAGGGGGCGAGCGUUGUUCGGAAUUACUGGGCGUAAAGGGCGCGUAGGCGGCCGUUCAAGUUAGAUGUGAAAGUCCUGGGCUUAACCUGGGGACUGCAUUUGAUACUGAUUGGCUUGAAUUCGGGAGAGGAUAGCGGAAUUCCCAGUGUAGAGGUGAAAUUCGUAGAUAUUGGGAAGAGCACCGGUGGCGAAGGCGGCUAUCUGGACCGACAUUGACGCUGAGGCGCGAAAGCGUGGGGAGCAAACAGG
rnacentral:rRNA from 1 species